CCUACGGGCGGCAGCAGUGGGGAAUAUUGGGCAAUGGGCGCAAGCCUGACCCAGCAACGCCGCGUGAAGGAAGAAGGCUUUCGGGUUGUAAACUUCUUUUCUGAGGGACGAAGAAAGUGACGGUACCUCAGGAAUAAGCCACGGCUAACUACGUGCCAGCAGCCGCGGUAAUACGUAGGUUGCAAGCGUUAUCCGGAUUUAUUGGGUGUAAAGGGCGUGUAGGCGGGAAAGUAAGUCAGAUGUGAAAACUCAGGGCUCAACCCUGAGCCUGCAUUUGAAACUGUUUUUCUUGAGUGCUGGAGAGGCAAGCGGAAUGCCGUGUGUAGCGGUGAAAUGCGUAGAUAGAAGGAGGAACACCAGUGGCGAAGGCGGAUUGCUGGACAGUAACUGACGCUGAGGCGCGAAAGCGUGGGGAGCAAACAGGAUUAGAUACCCGUGUAGUC
rnacentral:rRNA from 1 species